rnacentral:rRNA from 1 species
CCAACAGGGAUUGCCUCAGUAACGGCGAGUGAAGCGGCAACAGCUCAAAUUUGAAAUCUGGCUCUCUCAGGGUCCGAGUUGUAAUUUGUAGAGGAAGCUUCGGGUUCGGCUCCGGUCUAAGUUCCUUGGAACAGGACGUCAUAGAGGGUGAGAAUCCCGUAUGUGACUGGAAGUCAUGCUCAUGUGAAGCUCCUUCGACGAGUCGAGUUGUUUGGGAAUGCAGCUCAAAAUGGGUGGUAAAUUUCAUCUAAAGCUAAAUACCGGCCAGAGACCGAUAGCGCACAAGUAGAGUGAUCGAAAGAUGAAAAGCACUUUGGAAAGAGAGUUAAAAAGUACGUGAAAUUGUUGAAAGGGAAGCGCUUGCAAUCAGACUUGCCCGCGGUUGAUCAGCCGAUGUUCUCACCGGUGCACUCUUCCGUGGUCAGGCCAGCAUCGGUUUGGGCGACUGGAUAAAGGCUCUAGGAAUGUAGCUUCCCUCGGGGAGUGUUAUAGCCUAGGGUGCAAUGCAGCCAGCCUGGACCGAGGACCGCGCUUCGGCUAGGAUGCUGGCGUAAUGGUUGUAAGCGACCCGUCUUGAA